AUGGCGGAGGCAUCAUGGAGCAACUCCCCUCCGUCUGCCAAGCAUCACCGUGGUGAGGCGUCUGGCAAGGAGCCGCUGGCGGUCGACGACGACGUUCCGGUCCCCGGGCAGAAGCGGGACUACACCGUGCCGCUCAAGGUUGAUAUUCACCUGAAGGAGCCGCUGGAUGUCGUAUGCACCAGCAAUCUAGACGAAGCCGACAAGAUGAUCCGCAAGAUAAGGAGGAGGCUCGGCGGCAUGCUUUCUCGGAAUAUCAGCGUUGAUGUCGAGUAUACCAGGGAAGACAAACCUCCGCAAAUUGUUGCAGUUCUGCAGUUAUGCAUGGAGGAUCUCGUCCUGGUAUACCACAUCACCGCGGCAACCAAAUGGCCCAAGGAACUCCGCCCGCUCCUAUAG
rnacentral:rRNA from 1 species